AUCCACCUGACGAGUCCCAAAUAGGACAAAACACGCGUUCUAGAA
rfam:Schistosoma mansoni, Puerto Rico, WGS project CABG01000000 data, contig: 0062